AUGGCGCGAAAGCGGCGGUUCUCCCGCCGCGGCCUGGGGCGAAUGCAGCCCGGCGCGCGGCCGCUCACCCGGAUCGGCAGUGUGGGACCGAUAGGGUACCUGGGUAUUGCUAGUUAUGAAAAAAGGGGAUUCAUUUGUUCAAUCUGGUGGACAUGGUCUAUGGUCCUAGCCGCCUCCAUUUCCAUUCCGAAUCAGCAGCUGUCAAUCAGCCUAAACAUCAACAAUCUGAACAUGGUUUUCAUCGCAUGGUGAAUUGGUGAUGGAGACCAGCACAAGCCGAUGAGCCAGCCAGUUUUCUGCAGGAAAUAGGUUGAUGGGCACCGUAAGUCUUCAGAUCCUUUACGUCUGAAUUUUCAGUUCCGCGAUAAGAUGGUAAAAAAGAAACCAGUGCUUCUUAGCGUGAACGCCUGUCAGUGCUCUAACCUUAGCCGAGAUGUGGAUGCCUGCAUGCCGACGAGCCAACCGAUUCUCCCAAAAGCAUAUGGUGGUGAUAAGGAACGCCGAGGUGAUCAUCUGGGACCUGGCCAGCGGUGGCCAACGGAGAUGCAGAUGAACGUUAUGAGCGACAAGCACCACCCAGUCUGAGUCUCACAUGAUUUGGUCUCACCACCACCACACACUAACGCUGGUCCAAGAGGAGCCAAAUAAAAAUAAAAAGGUGAGGUAUCAAAAGCAGCGUCCACCGGGCAGUGGAUGGAUGGAUAGAAAACUAAAGGCUGCUUUGCUUUGGCCUGUGAGGUGAGGUUAGCAAGCACACGGUGAGCUGAUGAUAACACUUGUCCUGCCGUGGGUCUCAGUGGAGGUACGGUAUCUUGGUGAUCGGCCUCGACCCUGACACCAAGCAUUUUCUUAAGCUUGCCUGAGGUUUGUGAUAAGCUAGGUGGUGUAUCGUCCUUUUCCCUGUUCUGUCAUUACGGCCUGUUUUUGCUCAUAGCUCAGCUGGUGUCACUGAGGUAUAUAUAAUCAGAUUUAUUAUGAAACAUGUUUUCAUAGUAUAUUUAUUUGGUGUCACGUACAGAAGUUGACAAUCUUUUCUACAAAUCUGAUCAAGUUUGAAAUAGAGACUAACCGGUUUUUAACAGUCCAAAUUCUUAAAUUAGUAAUAUCUAAAGGUCGUCUGUGCAAGUUGAGAUAAAGAUCCGAAAAAUUUGGGCCUUGGCCUAACAAAUCUACACAUGCAAGUGCGAUCUGGGCAAUGAUAUUGAUUAGGCCCAACAAAUCUAUUGAGUCUCGGACGCGAGAUCGUGGGAUCAUAAGCUCCUGCACUGCAGUAUUUUCCAACACAUGCAUUUUAUUCAUUCAUUAUAUAUAUUGAUGAUGAUUGACAUGUAUAUCGAUCAGGUAGCAGCACGGAUGGAUGCAUGCAUUUUGUACGUUUCAAUAUGGACAGCAGCACUUCCAUGGGUCACCACGUUUAUCGCAGUAGCCGCCAUUCUUAGCAGGGAAGUUGUACUCUUGGCAAACUUUGCCGCAGUGAAAUGGCGUGCAGUAUUCACGAUCGUAUGGAAAGCAGAAUGGUGGCCGCAACCUGGGGACGACGCCGCCUGCCAAAAAAACGUUGCUCCACCCGUUAUAUAU